rnacentral:rRNA from 1 species
UACGAAGGGGGCUAGCGUUGCUCGGAAUCACUGGGCGUAAAGGGCGCGUAGGCGGCCAUUCAAGUCGGGGGUGAAAGCCUGUGGCUCAACCACAGAAUUGCCUUCGAUACUGUUUGGCUUGAGUUUGGUAGAGGUUGGUGGAACUGCGAGUGUAGAGGUGAAAUUCGUAGAUAUUCGCAAGAACACCAGUGGCGAAGGCGGCUGCCUGGCCUGUUCUUGACGCUGAGGCGCGAAAGCUGGGGGAGCAAACGGG